rnacentral:rRNA from 1 species
AUAUCCCUACGGGGGGCAGCAGUGGGGAAUAUUGCACAAUGGGGGAAACCCUGAUGCAGCGACGCCGCGUGAGUGAAGAAGUAUUUCGGUAUGUAAAGCUCUAUCAGCAGGGAAGAAAAUGACGGUACCUGACUAAGAAGCCCCGGCUAACUACGUGCCAGCAGCCGCGGUAAUACGUAGGUGGCAAGCGUUGUCCGGAUUUACUGGGUGUAAAGGGCGUGCAGCCGGGCUGACAAGUCAGAUGUGAAAUCCGUGGGCUUAACCCGCGAACUGCAUUUGAAACUAUUGGUCUUGAGUGCCGGAGG